GACGAACGCUGGCGGCGUGCCUAAUACAUGCAAGUCGAGCGAGGAAGUUGCUUCGGUAAUUGACCUAGCGGCGGACGGGUGAGUAAUACUUAGGAAUCUGCCUAUUAAUGGGGGACAACAUCUCGAAAGGGAUGCUAAUACCGCAUACGCCCUACGGGGGAAAGCAGGGGAUCACUUGUGACCUUGCGUUAAUAGAUGAGCCUAAGUCGGAUUAGCUAGUUGGUGGGGUAAAGGCCUACCAAGGCGACGAGCUGUAGCGGGUCUGAGGGGAUGAUCCGCCACACUGGGACUGAGACGAGGCCCAGACUCCUACGGGAGGCAGCAGUGGGGAAUAUUGGACAAUGGGGGGAACCCUGAUCCAGCCAUGCCGCGUGUGUGAAGAAGGCCUUAUGGUUGUAAAGCACUUUAAGCGAGGAGGAGGCUCUUUUGGUUAAUACCCAAGAUGAGUGGACGUUACUCGCAGAAUAAGCACCGGCUAACUCUGUGCCAGCCGCCGCCGUAAUAC
rnacentral:rRNA from 1 species